rnacentral:rRNA from 1 species
CCUACGGGAGGCAGCAGUGAGGAAUAUUGGUCAAUGGACGAGAGUCUGAACCAGCCAAGUAGCGUGAAGGAUGACUGCCCUAUGGGUUGUAAACUUCUUUUAUAUGGGAAUAAAAUGUUCCACGUGUGGGAUUUUGUAUGUACCAUAUGAAUAAGGAUCGGCUAACUCCGUGCCAGCAGCCGCGGUAAUACGGAGGAUCCGAGCGUUAUCCGGAUUUAUUGGGUUUAAAGGGAGCGUAGGUGGAUUGGUAAGUCAGUUGUGAAAGUUUGCGGCUCAACCGUAAAAUUGCAGUUGAAACUGGCAGGCUUGAGUACAGUAGAGGUGGGCGGAAUUCGUGGUGUAGCGGUGAAAUGCUUAGAUAUCACGAAGAACUCCGAUUGCGAAGGCAGCUCACUGGACUGAAACUGACACUGAGGCUCGAAAGUGUGGGUAUCAAACAGGAUUAGAUACCCCAGUAGUC